UGAGGCGUCGCGCAAUGGUUGCGCGCGCUGUUUUGGUCCGCGAGGUCAGGGGUUCAAACCUUGCCCCCCAA
rnacentral:tRNA from 1 species